UGGGCAUCCAUUAAAGGGACACAGUUGCCAAAUAUUAACUCCUUUGAGCCUCGAACUCUUCACCUGUACAAUGAGGAAGAUGAUCACUUCUUUGCAGAACUGUUAGAAGAUGAGGUAUCCACAGCAUACUCAUUGGCCUAUUCAGCAGGUAUUUGCUGAGCGCCUACAGGCCCGGGAGCUGUCCUAGGUGCUGAAGUCAAACAGACUAAAAUCAUGGGAUGGAGACAUGGUCUGUGACAGCUGCGUAUUCAUCAAACGAUUCGCAUCCUGCUCAUCAGUGACCUUUGCCAACUGGGGAAAAUGUUCAUUGAAAUUUCCU